rnacentral:rRNA from 1 species
GAUGAACGCUGGCGGCGUGCUUAACACAUGCAAGUCGAACGGGAAAUAUUUCAUUGAGACUUCGGUGGAUUUGAUUUAUUUCUAGUGGCGGACGGGUGAGUAACGCGUGGGUAACCUGCCUUAUACAGGGGGAUAACAGUCAGAAAUGGCUGCUAAUACCGCAUAAGCGCACAGAGCUGCAUGGCUCAGUGUGAAAAACUCCGGUGGUAUAAGAUGGACCCGCGUUGGAUUAGCUAGUUGGUGGGGUAACGGCCCACCAAGGCGACGAUCCAUAGCCGGACUGAGAGGGUGAACGGCCACAUUGGGACUGAGACACGGCCCAGACUCCUACGGGAGGCAGCAGUGGGGAAUAUUGCACAAUGGGGGAAACCCUGAUGCAGCGACGCCGCGUGAAGGAAGAAGUAUCUCGGUAUGUAAACUUCUAUCAGCAGGGAAGAUAGUGACGGUACCUGACUAAGAAGCCCCGGCUAACUACGUG